AAUGGUCUACAUAACUAAAAUACCUCAGUAUGUACUUUCAGUUAUGAGAAAUGCUGAUGUUCCCUCACAAAUCAGAAUUGGGCUGGGAAGACUGAAAAUGAAGGUGCUUUCUCUUUGUGUGUCAGAGUGGCAGAAUUAGUGUUUCAAGGAGUGGUGUGUCUGCCUUUUAAACAACUCCUGGGCUAUAUUGCUGGAUCUAAGAAGUCUUACACCUGUAACUUACUAGAACUGCAGUGUAGUGUAACAAGCUGCAGUGAGCUAAAUUGCUGAUAUUUUUGACAUUUGAUUCAUAAUAAAAUACUUCUAAACUCUCAGUAAAACAGUUUGAAAUACCGGUACUUAUUUAAACUAUGCAGUUUUGCUUAUAAAUAAGACAUAUAAAAUAAUAUUCGUCCAACCAUCUUUUCAAUGCAACUCUGGACAUGGUUCUGAUCCAGAGUGAAUUUUUAUUCAUGGAAGGACCCUGACUUUGGAUUAGACUUUACAGCCUACGCAAUUCUUCAGUUUGAGUUGGGAUGCCCCAGAAUGUCUUCCUGAAAACCCCUGGAUUUGUUUCUUCCUUUUUUUUUUUUUUUUUUUUUGUACAAGAGACAAACAGAUACAGUACAAAUGCACUAAGGAGAAGAAAGCAAGGAUACCUUGAGAAGACACUUCUUGAAUCAAGGGCAGUGAAAGGAUCACCAGGGAAACGCAAAGUAUGUUCCAUAUGACCGUUACUUUCAGUGUAUGGACUAAUUCUGCUGAAUAAUAGCUGGAAGAAAAUGGGAUUCAACUAUAGGAAGGAAAGAUUUUCAUGCAAGAUUUGAUUAAUAUGAAGAAUGGGACGUGAUAAGAAGAAUAAGGAAAAUUAACAUGAGAAAGGGUGCUUCAGGUAGGAAAAAGUAGCAGUUGAGUUUGCACUGGCUUCUGGUUAAUUUGUGAAUGAAAGAUGCAGAAAAUUCUUCCAGGCCACAGUUACUUCAUUACCACCUAAAGACUGCUAAUAAAGACACCCAGAAACAGUCACCACUUUGACUGAAGAAUAACAGCCUUGCUUUGGCAAAAUAGCAGUGAAAAAGUGUCAGAAUGUUUUGGGAUGGUUUUUGUUGGUUUUUUUUUUUCAGACUUGGUAUGAAGUAAUUUUCUUGUAACUUGAAGAGUCAUCUGAAACAUCACACUCAGGCUACUAUAAAUAAUCCUUUUAACACAUUCUUGAGCUUUCACUUCUUAUGUAUUCAAGCAAUGGUGGUCUCAGUCCUCCUGGGAAGUUGAACACACACAGCACGACUGCAGCAGCUCAAAACAGAGCACUGAGACUCAGCAACCUGUUAGCAAUUUAAAUGUAACAGGAAGAUUCUGAUAACAAGUAAAAUGGUUGCAGAAAUAUAAAUUACUCAGCAAGGCUAUGGUAUAUUGCAGGUUGUGCUGUGCUGAUCUAAAUCUGAAAAAAGAAUAAUCUGCAGCAAAGGCAGGAUUCUGAGCCUGAUAUGUUGAGGGAAUAAUAAGGCAAAAUGAAGAAAUUUAACCAGCUUUAGUUGUUUAUCAUCCAAAUAUUUUUCUGGUCUAUCAGGAAAUUUAUAGGCAUUGGUCUCUGUUUGCCUAUAUUUAAAUCUGAGGUUAGAACCGAAAUAAUAUUAGGUUUUAGAAAUCUAAAACUGAAAGUUCACCAAUUACUAGUUUCCCAACAGCACAGUUAGCUAGGAGCUCCCUUCCUGCUGGGAGUUCUUUACUUCCCUUACACAGUCCUCUUUCACAGCAUGGGCUACCAUAAUUAAAAGCUACUGUUAGGGUUGGGCAACUGAACUAGUCCCAUACCCUUCCUGAGAUGCUUGAGGUUGGGGUCAAGGUCAAGCUUUGGCAAGAUGAGUCUUCAAGAACUCUGUAGAUUUUAAAAGCCCCAAGAGUUAAAAGAGGUCUGGCAGUAGUAAGGAUUGGUGUUUGUCUGUUUAAAUGAUUCAUCCCGCCUUCUAGACUUCAAAUUAAAUUUAUGGUUUGAAUUAAAGUUAUAUUGUAAGACUCUAGUGAUUCAACUUUGUGGCAUUCAGUUUUAGGAAGUUGUCUGGCAGGGCCUGUUUACUCCCAUAUACUGUUAGGAUUGAUCAAUAUCCAUGUUACUAAGCAUAUUAUUUGUGCUCAGACUUAGGGCUUCUGGCUUGAAGCUCAGGUACUAAGAGGAUAAAAGGAGGGCUUAGGAUUGAAGAUGAUCUUCUGUGUUAUUGUUGGUAUUGAUCUCCCAAGUAACAUCUGGGUUUAGGGGUUCAUGUUAU